AGUGAAACAGCUAAUGUUUGGAACCAGUAGGAAAGGGUUAGAUAAUAAGACAGAAAAUAUCAAAAUGCCACUAUAUAGAUCCAUGGUGUGCCCAUACCUUGAUGCUGUUUGCAGUUCUGGUCAUCCCAUCUCAAAAAGAUAUAUUAGAAUUGGAAAAAGUACAGAGAAGAGGAACAAAAAUGAUUAGGGGUAUGGAAUGGUUUCCAUACAAGG